CUACGGGAGGCAGCAGUCGGGAAUUUUGGGCAAUGGGCGAAAGCCUGACCCAGCAACGCCGCGUGAAGGAUGAAGUAUUUCGGUAUGUAAACUUCGAAAGUAUGGGAAGAAUAAAUGACGGUACCAUACAUAAGCUCCGGCUAACCACGUGCCAGCAGCCGCGGUAAUACGUAGGGGGCAAGCGUUGUUCGGAUUUACUGGGCGUAAAGGGUGCGUAGGCGGCGCAGCAAGUCACUUGUGAAAUCUCCGGGCUUAACUCGGAAUGGCCAAGUGAUACUGUUGUGCUAGAGUGCAGGAAGGGCAACUGGAAUUCUUGGUGUAGCGGUGAAAUGCGUAGAUAUCAAGAGGAGCACCUGAGGCGAAGGCGAGUUGCUAGACUGACACUGACGCUGAGGCACGAAAGCUAGGGGAGCGAACGGGAUUAGAAACCCCUGUAGUCC
rnacentral:rRNA from 1 species